UCCAUCGGAUCCUUUACCUCUUUGUCUUCCUCUUCAUCGUUUCAAAAAUCAAAAGUCCCCCAAAAUCUAAGUGUUUUGAAAAAUCUGAAAAUCAGAAGCAGUUCGAGUAUAACUAAGGACAACCCGAGAUAUGGAGAAGAGAAGAAUGGUGCGUACAAAGAACGCAAGCUUUAACAAAGAAAUAUAUCCAGUAGGUGAAGUCGAAAAGCCAACAGAUGCAAUCGUAGAAGAAGAUGAGACUCGUCGAGAUGAUUCAGAAAAAACAUAGUCAAAUCCGGAAUCAGAUUCUGGGGAUUCAACGGAGUCCGAGGAGGAAUCCGAGGAGGGAACAGAAGUAAUGCAACCGCUGAACAUGUACUUCAAUCUGUCCGAGUACAUGAAGCCAUUCAAGCUAUCUGCUAAGUGUUAUAUCACAAGGACAGUGAACUUCUUGAGAGCUCACCUUAAGUCCCAUGAGUUGGACUGGUUCCUAUGACACCUUAAGUCCCAUGAGAAGGAUAAUUGAUGAUCUAUUCUGGUUUAGUUGUGAACUCUUGAGAUUGGUUUGUUUAACGUUGGGUUUUUGAGUCAUUUUAUAUGUGAACUCUUUGUAUUGGUUUAUGGAUUGAUGUGUUUUUGGA